rnacentral:rRNA from 1 species
GCUACGGGAGGCAGCAGUGGGGAAUCUUGCACAAUGGGGGAAACCCUGAUGCAGCGACGCCGCGUGAGCGAUGAAGGAUUUCGGUAUGUAAAGCUCUAUUAGCAGGGAAGAAAAUGACGGUCCCUGACUAAGCAGCCCCGGCCAACUACGUGCCAGCAGCCGCGGUAAUACGUAGGGGGCACGCGUUAUCCGGAGUUACUGGGUGUAAAGGGGGCGCAGACGGGGGUGCAAGCCAGGCGGGAAAGCCCGGGGUCCAACCCCGGGACUGCACCUGGAGCUGGGUGGCUGGAGUGCAGGAGGGGACGGCGGAACUCCUGGUGUAGCGGUGAAAUGCGUAGAUAUAAGGAGGAACACCGGUGGCGAAGGCGGCCUGCUGGACUGCAACUGACGUUGAGGCCCGAAAGCGUGGGGAGCAAACAGGAUUAGAUACCCUUGUAGUC